rnacentral:rRNA from 1 species
GACGAACGCUGGCGGCGUGCUUAACACAUGCAAGUCGAACGGAAAGGCCCUGCUUUUGUGGGGUGCUCGAGUGGCGAACGGGUGAGUAACACGCGAGUAACCUGCCCUUGACUUUGGGAUAACUUCAGGAAACUGGGGCUAAUACCGGAUAGGAGCUCCUGCUGCACGGUGGGGGUUGGAAAGAUUCGGCGGUUGGGGAUGGACUCGCGGCUUAUCAGCUUGUUGGUGGGGUAGUGGCUUACCAAGGCUUUGACGGGUAGCCGGCCUGAGAGGGUGACCGGCCACAUUGGGACUGAGAUACGGACCAGACUCCUACGGGAGGCAGCAGUGGGGAAUAUUGCACAAUGGGCGGAAGCCUGAUGCAGCAACGCCGCGUGCGGGAUGACGGCCUUCGGGUUGUAAACCGAUUUCGCCUGUGACGAAGCGUGAGUGACGGUAAUGGGUAAGGAAGCACCGGCUAACUACGUG